GAAGCAAUACCGCGAGGUGGAGCAAAACUUCAAAAAUAGGUCUCAGUUCGGACUGUAGGCUGCAACUCGCCUACACGAAGUUGGAAUUGCUAGUAAUCGUGGAUCAGCAUGCCACGGUGAAUACGUUCCCGGGUCUUGUACACACCGCCCGUCACACCAUGAGAGUCGGGAACACCCGAAGUCCGUAGUCUAACCGCAAGGGGGGCGCGGCCGAAGGUGGGUCCGGUAAUUGGGGUGAAGUCGUAACAAGGUAAC
rnacentral:rRNA from 1 species